rnacentral:rRNA from 1 species
AACAAACGCUGGCGGCGUGCCUAAUACAUGCAAGUCGAACGAGGUAGCAAUACCAAGUGGCGCACGGGUGAGUAACACGUAGAUAAUCUGCCCUAGAGUGGGAGUAACUCACCGAAAGGUAGUGCUAAUACCGCAUAAGACCACAGGAACAUAAGUUCUAGGGUUAAAGGAGCAAUUCGCUCUAGGAUGAGUCUGCGUCAGAUUAUGGUAGUUGGCGGAGUAACAGCCCACCAAGCCGAUGAUCUGUAGCUGGUCUGAGAGGAUGAUCAGCCACACUGGAACUGAGACACGGUCCAGACUCCUACGGGAGGCAGCAGUAGGGAAUAUUGGACAAUGGGCGAAAGCCCG